AAUGAACGUUGGCGGCGUGGAUUAGGCAUGCAAGUCGAGCGCUCAUAGCAAUAUGGGAGCGGCGAACGGCGUAGUAAUGCAUCGGAACGUACCCUUCGGUCGGGGAUAGCCACGGGAAACUGUGGGUAAUACCCGAUGAUAUCUGCGGAUCAAAGGUGAGAUUCCGCCGGAGGAGCGGCUGAUGUGAUAUUAGCUUGAUGGUGGGGUAAUGGCCUACCAUGGCGAUGAUGUCUAGGGGGUGUGAGAGCAUGGCCCCCACGACCGGAACUGAGACACUGUCCGGACACCUACGGGUGGCUGCAGUCGAGAAUCUUCCGCAAUGGACGAAAGUCUGACGGAGCGACGCCGCGUGCGGGAUGAAGGCCCUUGGGUUGUAAACCGCUGUCAGAGGGGAUGAAAUCUCCGGGGGUACUCCCCCGGAGUUGACAGAGCCUCAAAGGAAGCACGGGCUAAGUACGUGCCAGCAGCCGCGGUAAUGUCUAG
rnacentral:rRNA from 1 species